rnacentral:rRNA from 1 species
CAGUCGCCACGGUAAUACGUAGGUGGCAAGCGUUGUCCGGAAUUAUUGGGCGUAGAGGGCUUGCAGGCGGUUUCUUAAGUCUGAUGUGAAAGCCCCCGGCUCAACCGGGGAGGGUCAUUGGAAACUGGGAAACUUGAGUGCAGAAGAGGAGAGUGGAAUUCCACGUGUAGCGGUGAAAUGCGUAGAGAUGUGGAGGAACACCAGUGGCGAAGGCGACUCUCUGGUCUGUAACUGACGCUGAGGAGCGAAAGCGUGGGGAGCGAACAGGAUUAGAUACCCCAGUAGUCCCUGUCUCUUAUAC